rnacentral:rRNA from 1 species
AUUAUGAAAGCAAAAAAUUAUGGCGGUAUUAUUAAGCUUUUCAGAGGAAUUUGCUCUUUAAUGGAUAAAACACCUAAAUCUUACUUAAAUUUGUUAAUUCAAUUUGUAUACCACUAUAAAAACAAUUUAUAACUUUAAUUGUUUAAAUUUAUUAAAUUAAAAUAUAUUAAGUCAAGGUGCAGUAAAAAUUUAAGAAUGAAGUGAAUUACAUUACUCUUUAGAGAAAUAAAUUUAAAAUAAUAUUUAGGAUUUGAAAGUAAAAUUAAAAUAGAAUGUUAAUUUGAAUUAAGCUCUAAAAUAUGUACACAUCGCC